CAACCCUCAGGCCCGCCUCGGCGGUCGCCUGGUGUUGGGGGCUAACCCCGCGGCGCUCGCCGCGGGGCCCCCGAAAGCCAUCGGCGGUGCCUGCCAGCACUCCGGGCGCAGUAAACUUACCUCGCCCUGGACGUCUGGCGGCUGCCCCUGCCGCUAAACGAAGCCGCCCCCGGGUGGCAGACUUAACUGG
rnacentral:misc_RNA from 1 species